rnacentral:lncRNA from 1 species
AUUCUUUAAAUCUAACGGCCCAUAUUCCUCCCCACUAUUAUAUUUAAACCUAAUUAUAACUUCCCCCCAAACCCUAAACCUAAAUUCCAAAACCCCAAACGGCGCCACCCCUCCUCCGCCUCUCUGUCGCUGCUCAACUCGCCCGAACUUGCCUGAACUCAGGUGAGUUCACCCCCAAACUCGUGCAUGUGAUCCCUCCUAUCUCCCUCCUCCACGUCACCUGUCCCGUAACAACUCCUUCUGUACUGCUGUUUUUUAUGCUGCUCUGUUAAACUUGGCUUCAUACCUGGUUUUCUGACCUUUAUUUGGUCCUUUAUUUGUUAUUUCCUGUCAUUAGGUAUGUACAAAUUUGCCUAUUAGCUUCCUGUUGCAAUUAUGAAUAAGUUUGGAUUAUCUGAUGUUGUUUGUGUCUGAUCUCCUUACUAUGUUUCAUUGCAAUUGCUUCCAUGUAAAUUUUUGGUUUUGAUUGUUCAUUUGAACUAAAUAUGGUGAUUCAAGUUAUUUUUGACUAGUUUACACAACUACUCAAUGUCAUUGUGUAGGUUUAAUAUCACAGAUUCAUCAUUGUUUUGAUUAACAAGUUUUAUAUGUUAAAAUCAUCUCAUAAUGAGUUUAUUGUUUAGUGUAUGAUGGUUUAUUCUUUUAAAAUUAGUGAUUCACACUCAAAAUGAUAUCUAUACUAAUAGAUUAAUCAAUCUUGUUGCCUAGCCAUUUAGCGGUUGUGCAUGACAGAGCCGAUUAAUAAGAGUAGCCCAGUGGCUAUUUUCUUAUAAAUCAGAGGUCUGCCCGAAGGAACGAGAGGCGUAUGAUUCAAGAAUAGCAAUGGUCGUGCAAGAUAAUGUGAUGGAAUCAUGGAAUGCGUUAAACUAGCUUUAGAUUGUUGAAAUUUGUAAUCUGAAUCCCAAGCUCAGUUACUGUACAUGAUUGUUAAAUUCUUGACCCUAUGCCUUCAUGAAAUAUACAUAGUUGUCGAUAAUGAAUUGUAUUUGUUUACUUGAAAUUUUUCAUUAUUAUUGACAAAAUCAGUGUAUAGAUCCAUAUGUCUUUGAGUUCAUAUACUUGGGUUUCAAUUUACGUAUGCCUCCACUGGAGAAAUCAAUUAGCUGAAUUUAUGCUCUUUUACUCCGUUAAUUCAGAGACCAUGGGUUGUAUUCAUAUAUGGCCAGAUUGUGAAUUUAAGUGAGCAAAGGCCAACAUCUGAAACGUGUUGGCCAAAAUGAUGAGAAUUUUCUUUAAGUUAAUAUUAGUAUAUACAUGCAGUUCGCUCCAAUUUUAGCAUAGCAGAAUGCUUAACCAUUGUCAAACAUUUCCAAACAAUUUGGAUACGGUUAAUAUUACUCAUUUCCCUUAGCAAAUUUACACUCAUUUUCCACAAAUCCAUAUCCAUAAUCAUGACUUCCACAAUAAUCUCAAAGUAGUUUAGGAAAAUAAUUCAGGAACAAUCGUAGUUUGUUUUAAGCGCGAUUAAUAAAUCAUCGUGACUAUGGGUACGAUUCCCGUGGUAUGGUCACGAUACGUAAAUUCCAACUCAAGUGUGCGUUUCACUUGACUUUAUCACAACUUCAAAUAAAUAAUAAUAAAAAUUAACAUGUUGUAAAUCGCGGGUACAUUUCACGGGGCGCGAUUCGCAAUAUGCACAGAAGCAAACGAGUGCGCGACAUCGCGAUUUCUUCAAACAAAAUUCCAUAAAUAAUAAAAUCGGUUAGAAAGUUAAAGUGCACAAUAGGUUCUAAAUAUGUAAUAAUUUAUAUAAUUGGGUCAAUUAUUAAUAGUUGAGCGAUCGUGCUAAAAUCACGGAACUCGGGAGAGUCUCACUCCUUCUUCCGAGUUAACAGAAUUCCUUAUCCGGUCUUCUGUGUUCGCAGACCAUAAAUAGAGUCAAUUUUCUCGAUUUGGGAUUUAAAAUAAACCGGUGACUUGGGACACCUUAAAUUAUCCCAAGUGGUGACUCUGAAAUCAAUAAAUAAUUCAAUUUCGAAUAAUGUCACUUAAAUUGGAAAAACUCCCUAUCCCUUCGGAAAAAAGGAUGUGUGACAGCUCCGGCGACUCUACUGGGGAUAAGAACCCAGAAUCUCUGGUUCAGGGUUCAGAAUUCAAGCUUAGAAUAAUUGCUAUAGUUGGCUUUUAUUUAUUAUCUAUUUUCUUACGUGUUUGAGCCUAAUGUGCUAAAUGCUACUUUUUACCGCUUUGAUAUUGCUUGAGCUGUAUAUAAAACUGUUGCGAAACCCUUCUUCUCUCUAAGUCUUCUAAAUCUUCUGGGAAGUGCACGCUGGCGUGACUUGUUUUCUGUUAGUGUCAUACCUUAAUUUAGAACGAGGAUCGGAUCAGUUACAAAGCCGGAUGGCCUUUUGGUUCCCGGUAUGUUGCCCUCCCCCCCGGCUCGAGUUGUCCGCUCGGGUAAGCCAGGUCUAGAACAAUACACCCAAGGGUUCAAAUCUAGAAUAACAUAACCUUAUGUCGGGUCCCUAAUAGGAACGUUUGUUUGCAUCACAUGCAUCUGGCUUUGGGGACUCAACACGGAGGUUGAGUCCAUCUAGGACAAGUGUACCCAAAUUAAAAGACUAUUCUGAUGCAUUUUUACUUGCUACUUGUGCAUUUAUCGGUUUCGGCUUUUAUGUUGACCGGCUUUUAGAGUAGGGAAAGAAAAUCAAGCAAAACCAAGAAGUGAGGUAGGAUAGAGAAACAUUCGGUUCUAAAAAUACCAGUGUUCGAAAUAUUCCGAAACUCUGCCGAAAUUUUAAAAAAAGAAAAAAGAAAAAAGAAGAGUCUUCGAAAAAAUAAGUCCUAUUUUUUCACGCGUCAAAACUCACCAAACUACGCGGGUUUGAUUCCCACCAGGUGUGGGAUACGUAGGCAACCCUCAUCGGGUCCAGCCCUAUUUUUGCAAAAAUAAUCAAAAUAGGGAAAUAUUGUCAUAAAUAAAGUUCGGCGAUGCCAUUUUUGCCCAAAUAGCUAGAUAUGUCCCGACGGGACGCCGGAAGGCUGUUUUGCAAGAAUAGCCACUCAAAAUUGGCCACUUAGCAAACACAAUCUUAAACUCUUCUCCUCCGAAGUGUUGAAAGGCCGUAUUUGCAAAAGUAGCCGUGAUUUGUUUUCGGUUAGAUUUUGUAAAAAUAAUCUUUUCAUGGUCAGUUUUAUACAAAAUUUUAAUCUGGGUACCCUAAUUUAAAAAUGUGCAAAAUGAGCUAUGUUCAGAACUUACCUGUGAAGGUUAUGGAUCAGAUUCCACUAGCCCUCCACAUGUGGUGGGAGGAUUUGGGAAAACAAGGACGAGACAUGGUCAACCAAUACCUGGGGGCGCUCACUGGACUAUUGAAAAUUUAACCUAGAAGGGACCUGAUAGAGGCAUUAGUGGCAUUCUGGGACCCCGCUCAUAAUAUUUUGCACUUCUCAGAUUUUGAUCUUACGCCUACUUUGGAAGAAAUGGCAGGUUAUACUGGGAGCACGGAGGGAUUAAGACACAAGUACCUGGUAUCUCCAUGGACUGUUACUCCCCACAAGUUUCUGGACUUACUAAAAAUAAGCAGACAAAUCAAGACUGGAAGUAUAGAAGGUGGAACUUUCACUUUUCAUUUUCUAUACCAGUGAUACGGGCAGUUAAGGGGAUUCGAAGACCCGAAAAAUGGACUCUGCAGUAAAGGAAACCGAUCAAAAUGGGAGACCCAUAGAUGUUUUGCCUUCAUGGUGGCGUUUUUAGGCCUUUUGUUGUUUCCAAGGAAAGACGGGCAUAUUGAUUUACGGGUAGCCGGGGUUGUCCACGUUCUGACUACUCAGGCCAAGAGUACCCUCGCAUCCAUGAUCGUAUCAGAUAUAUUCCGAGCCCUCACAUUCUGUAAGGCCGGAGUCAGGUUUUUCGAGGGAUGCAAUUUGCUGUUGCAAAUAUGGAUGAUCGAGCACCUUUGUCAUCGUCCUCGAUACAUGAACUAUGGGUCUACGGGAAAAUUUGCAUUGAAGAGUUUGAUACACGAGUAACAAGAUUCGAAAUGCCGGAAGGGGUCAAAGAUUGGAUCACCUGCCUUCGAUCUACAACCGCAGAUCAUAUAGAGUGGACAUUGGGUUGGCUUCCCGUUGAUAAGAUUGUUUAUAUGCCCGCCACUGGUCCCUACUUCUUGCUAAUGGGUCUCCGAAGCAUCCAACCCAAUGCUCCGUACCGGGUUUUGGGACAACUUGGAAGAUGCCAGACAGUUCCUAGAGAUGAAGAUCUUAGCACUUAUGUAGUCGAAAUCCGCUCUGAUGCCCAAUUUCUUGAAGAAUUGGUUUGCCAAAUUUGGAGCUAAUGCCAGUAUUUGGGGGCAAACACCCGAGUACAUGAUUUGUCUAGGGGCGAGGUCUUACCUAGUUAUGUUGUCUAGUAUGGAAAGAGAGUCACUACGAAUGGUGAAUCUGAACGGUCAACUAAAAGACCUCAUAUCCAAGAAUUUGUCAACACAUCGCAGGAGAAGUGGGCUUGGUUAGCCAAAGAAAAGGAAUACCGGGCCACCAUAAGCAAAUUAGAACAACAAAUCAGAAAAAUCAAAUUUGAUAGUAGUUUGUAGGCUGUCGAGGAUGAAGGAGAAAAGAAGAGAUUGGUUCGGGAAAAUGAGGCGUUCCGAGCCCAACUCCGGGACAUGAGGAUAGUCGCUGAAACGCCUAUGAGGAGCGAGAGAGAUGAAAAACUCAUCGGCAACCUAAGGAUGAAGAUGCGUGACUAUGCGGCUGACUUGACAAAGGCCGAAAGAGACUUGUUAAAUGCUCAAGAAAAGUUGGCCAAAGGUGCGGAAGAACAAGCUAGAUUAGCCCACCAGUUGAAGCAAAAAUAUGAUAAAGAAGUAGCAAUUUUACAGAAAAAGCUGGUUGCCCUUGAGAAUGAAAUGGUUAAGCAAACAAAGGAUUUCAAGGCAGAAAGAGAGCAUUGCUACGCAUUGAUUUAUCAAUUACAAUAAAGCAUGCAGCAGUUACAAGACCAAAACAACACAGAUACACAAGUGUUGGAGGCUCGGGCCCAGCAGAUUGGACGUUUGCUUCAAGAAAAGGGUGUUAUCGGAAUGAGGAUUAAAGAGAAAGCUGAUUAUGUUGUAAUGAAAUGCCAUGAAUGUGAAGACAUGAUGAGGUCUAUGUUUUUUGCUUCUGUGAUGACAUUCGUUCACCAGGUGAUGGUUGACCUAGACCACCUUCAAGAAGAUAUUGCCCGUAGGCUCGUGCGAAGACCGGCUGAUAUCCUGCAGGCCCCCGGAGUACUAGUGGAGGCUCUUAUGUAUUUUUGAUUGUUCAGUUUUUGAGUCUAUAUUUUACUUUUUUCGAGUUUUCUUCGUCUUUUUCAAGGUUAUUUAUUGCUUUAUUUCGAGUCUGUAGAUUUUUUUUUUGUUGUCAUCACUAUUUUUAAGUCCUUGUAAUAGAAAAUCCAAAAAGAUGUCUUUUAUUAAUAAAAUAUUGAAAACCCAAAAAAAAAUUCUUUUCUUUCAUUUCGCAUUUAUAUCUAUGAACUACGUAAUGAUCUGAUUCAUACGGCGUCAUGAUACGUAGGCAAUCCCCAUAGGAUUCAAUCAUAGUCCUAAUUAAAAAAAAAGAGAAAAGAAAACAAGAAGAAAAAAAAGAGAAAAAAAAGAGAGGAAAAAAAAAGAAAAAAGAGAGAAAAAAGAAAAGAGAGGUCGGACAAAAGAAGAAAAGAGAAUGAGAAUUAAAAGAGCGAAAAACAGUAAAAGGAGAGAGGAAAAGAAAAUCAGGAUUUGAAAUUUGGAAAAGAGCUGGGAUGAAACACAGAAGUCGUCGCAAAGCAUUUAGAAACGUUUAACUGCUCAGGUGCAUUGCAUCCCCAAUAUGUGAUUCCCUAUCUGCUAAAUGCUUUGAAACUGACCAAGUUGUUGUGUGUGCAUUAGUUAGGUUCUGUUCAGGUGGUUAGUUUGUUGGCAUCCUGGCAAGUCACCCCUAUAACACCAGAUCAAAGCGCAAGGCAGUCAUGACUAGCAAAGUAUCGGACACGGGUGUUGUUGACCCACCGAGGGAGAUUGUAGAAUCAGAGUCUGAAUUGAAAGAGGAGGUCCACAGGUUGAAGCAUCAAAUGGCAGAAAUGUAUCAAGCCUGGAUCGGGGGCAUCCUCCACCUUCAUUCCCCGCUAACUACACAAAAAAUCCCGCUUUCAUCCCACCACUGGCACAAGCCCAGGAUCCCACUACCGUUGAUCGUUCCCCUCAGCAUGCACUGGGUUUUACCACUUACCACCACUACCCCGGCACCUCAUCCCAAACUUUCUAUGCUCCACCAGCCAAAACAACUGCAUACCCUGCUCCGACAUCUGCUCCUAUUUUCGUAGCCUCUCCGCGAGCUUCCCUCCACCGAUCUUCUAGUGAACCCACGUUCCAAGCUCCAGAUACCCAAUAUUAUGCUCCGAAACCAACUUUCAAAGUCACGGAUCCUUAUUCCUACACCCCUCACUUUGAACCUCCUGUUGAAACUGAGAAGCCAUCCUGGAACGUGGAGCAGGAUGAGGUAUUCAGGAAAGUGAAGAGUUUAGAGCAAUCUUUGAAGAACAUGCAAGGGAUAGGAAGUGAAGUAAGUGUGGCUUACAAGGAUUUAUGCUUAUUCCCUGAUGUCCAACUGCCCGCUGGGUUCAAGAUACCCAAGUUUAACCUGUACGAUGGACAUGGAGAUCCCGUAGCCCAUUUGAAAGGUUUUUGCAGCAAGAUGAGAGGCGCCGGUGGUAAAGACGAAUUAUUAAUGGCGUAUUUCAGUUAGAGUCUGAGUAGGGCGGCUCUGGAAUGGUACACCCACCAAGACGCAAACAGGUGGUACACAUGGGAUGACUUGGCUCAGGCCUUUGUCCGGCACUUUCAGUACAAUAUAGACAUUGUCCCGGAUCUCCUAUCUUUGACCAAGGUAGAGAAGAAGCCUAGUGAGAGCUUUAGGUAAUAUGGUUUCAUAUGGAGAGAACAAGCUGCACGGGUUAAUUUUCCAAUGGAAGAAGAUGAGAUGGUCGAGUACUUUCUUCAAGCCUUAGAGCCUACUUAGUUUGGCCAUUUGAUCUCAGCCAUAGGUAAGUCCUUCAAAGAUGUGGUAAAGAUGGGAGGAAUGGUGGAAGAGGGACUCAAGUCAAGCAAGAUCAUGAGCUACUCCGCCAUAAAAGCAACCACACAUGCAAUUCAAAGUGGCACUGAAAGCCUGUUAGGCAAAAAGAAGAAAGAUGAUGUCGCUAUGUUUGUCUCUGGAUCAUGGCGUGGCCCAAGGGGUUCGCCUCACCAGUAAACCCAACCUCGAACCCAACCUCAAGCCUACACCCAAGCUCCAUAUAAUCCAUCCCAACAUUAUUUUCCACCACAAGACCCUCAAUAUUCAGUCAGACCACUCCAAUACCAUGUUCACCAUGCACAGUCAUAUGCUCAACCCCCUCCUUACCCGCAAUGGCGUGCUCCAACUCCACAAAAUCCUUAUCCACCCCCACAACCAUACCAAAACCCUACUGGUCCAAGCUUUUGACCAAGGCCAGAUUAUAGAAAAGAGAGGCAGUAGUGGAAAGAAACCUUCACCCCUCUUGGAGAGUCGUAUACCAGUUUGUUUUAAAGGUUGAGGCAGUUGGACGUUUUGAGGCCGAUUGAGCCAAAGAUACCAAAUCCACCUCCAAGGAACCUUGAUUAUUCCCUCGGAUGCGCAUAUUAUUCUGAUGCCCCAGGUCACGACACAGAGAAGUGUUGGCAUUUGAAAAGGGAGAUCCAAGAGCUUAUUGAUACAAAUCAAAUUGUGGGCCAGAGCCCGGAGGUGCCAAACAUCAACCAAAAUCCUUUGCCGGCCCAUGCAGAGAUACAUAUGAUUGAGAUAGUUAAUAAGGAUGGGGAUCCCAAGAAUUCUUCCAAGUCUGUCAUGAUGAUUCGGGCUAGCGAAAGUAAUCUAGUUAAAGCUCCAGAUUCUGCAAAAGUAAUGCCCUUGAAAGUUGAAGGGGUGUCGGAGAAUCUAAGCACGCUCAACGUGAAGCCAUCUGUAUUGGUUGUGAAAGGGCCUCCGAUUGAUGUUGAAGCGAACCAGGAAAAGCAAAAAGUGGUCGUGCCAGGGGUCUCGGGCAAGCCUGUCAUAAUCGUGGAAGGGGCUCGUAUUACCCCCGUUAUUAUUAAGCCAGUGACCCAGUUACCAAUGGUUGACACAAAGGUCGUCCAGUGGAAUUACAAACAGGUGAUAGUAACAUAUAAAGGGAAAGAAGUAGAGGAAGAAGUCAAUGAAACCGGAGGGCUGACUCAUUCUGGGAGAUGUUUUACCCCAGAGCAACUGAGGAAAGCCAAGCCAUUCAAGGAUGGCCACAUCCCAGUAAAGAAGCCAGUCACCGAAGAAAAGGCUGAAGAGUUCCUAAAAAAGAUGAAAAUGCAAGACUAUUCCAUUGUAGAGCAGUUAAGGAAAACACCAGCUCAUAUCUCUCUUUUGUCUUUGUUGAUACAUUCAGAUGAACACCGCAAAGCCCUGAUGAAGAUUUUGAAUGAGGCCCAUGUUCCUGAUAAGAUCACGGUGAACCACUUGAAAAAGAUUGCUAACAAGAUUUUCGAAGCAAAUAGGAACACUUUCUCAGAUGAUGAACUUCCUAUGGAGGGUACAGAACACAACCAAGCUCUUUAUCUCACAGUGAAGUACGAGGAUUCUGCUGUCUCAAGGGUACUGGUUGAUAACGGUUCUAGUGCAAAUAUUUGCCCUCUGUCUACUUUGCAAAUAUUGAAGAUCGACACUGAGAGGAUCCACAUGAACAAUGUAUGUGUUUGAGGUUUUGACGGAGGAGGGAAAGAUUCUAUCGGUGAUAUAAUGCUCGAAUUGUCAAUAGGGCCAGUUGAGUUCACUAUGGAGUUCCAAAUGCUAGAUGUGGUUGUCUCCUACAACUUGUUGUUGGGCAGGCCAUGGAUACAUGCUGCCAAGGCAAUCCUUUCUUCUCUGCACCAAAUGGUAAAGUUCGAAUGGGACAGGCAGGAAAUAGUUGUGCACGGUGAUGCGAAUUUAUCUGCUUACAAUGAUACGACUGUUCCAUUUAUUGAAGUUGAAGAUGAUAAAGAGACUUGGGUUUACCAAACAUUCGAAACAGUGUCUGUCGAGAAGAUUCCUGAGGGAGAAUGCAUUCCAGGUCCGAAGCUACCCUCCGCGUCCGUCAUGGUAGCAAAUAAAAUGUUGAAGAAUGGUUUUGUGUCGGGCAAAGGCCUGGGUUCAUCUCUUCAGGGUAUUGUGCAUCCGGUGUGUCCACGUGAAAGUUUCGGUACAUUUGGUUUGGGAUUCACAUUAACAGGGAAGGACAUGAAAAGGGCUAAAAGUUUGAAAAGGAAGGCAUGGUUACUUCCUAAGCCUGUUCCACACAUCUCCAAGUCUUUUGUCAAGUCAGGGGUCGCAAAAUUCCCAAUAUCAGCAGUCCCAAAACCUGUGGUCGACUUUGAUGAAGAGCUGAUCAAGAGGUUCCAGAGUCUAUUUGAUGAGGUUAAUAUGAUAGAAAUCGGGGAAGGUUCCAGUAAUGCCGAUGUGCAGCUUGUUGGGCCAAAUGUGAAGCUUAGCAAUUGGAAAUCUACUCGUCUCCCCAUCCGGAAGGAGUUUUGGUAGUUUGCUUUGUUUUCCUUUCUAUCAUCUGGGUUAUUCCAGGGUUGUUAUACAAAUUUUUAUUUUUGCUUGUUUUGAUGUACAAACACUUCUAUCCUUUUAUUUUCUAUGAAAUACAAUUUCCCGUUUUUCAUUAUUCCUGAUAGCGUUUCAUUUUUUGUUUUUGUUUUUUUACAGUUUUUUUAUGCUUGUUUCAAUGACAUGACAUGCGUGAGGAAUUUUCAGCCAAAUCUCAAAAGCCAAUUUAAUUCUGAAAUAACAAUCCAAGAAGUAGAGUGUGAUGAUGAAACAGAAUAUGAUGAAGACGCAACAUUUCAGAAAAUCAGUAGAGAACUAAAUCACUUUGAAGAAAAACCCAAGCCUAAUUUGAAUGAAACUGAAGCAAUCAAUUUAGAAGAUCAAGAUAAUAUCAGGAAAACAAAUAUAAGUGUGCAUCUAGAACCGCAAAUCAGUGAAGAAAUAAUCAAAGCACUGUUUGAAUAUAAAGAUAUUUUUGCAUAGUCGUAUGACAACAUGCCGGGUUUGAGCACUGAUCUGGUAGUUCAUAAAUUGCCAAUUGAUCCGACAUUCCCUCCAGUCAAGCAAAAGUUAAGGAAGUUCAAGACUGACAUGAGUGUGAAGAUCAAAGAAGAAAUCACAAAGCAACUUGACCCAAAGGUCAAUCGGGACUCGAUAUCCCACUUGGUUAGCUAAUGUUUUGCCAGUACCAAAGAAGGAUGGUAAGACCAGGGUAUGUGUUGAUUAUCGUGAUCUCAACAAGGCAAGUUCAAAGGAUAACUUUCCAUUGCUGAACAUCCACAUUCUGAUUGACAAUUGUGCCAAGCUCGAGAUCGGGUCUUUUGUAGAUUGCUAUGCGAAAUAUCACCAGAUCCUGAUGGAUGAAGAAGACGCAGAAAAGACAAAAUUCAUCACGCCAUGGGGGACAUAUUGCUACCAGGUAAUGCCAUUUGGUUUGAAGAAUGCCGGGGAAAUUUACAUGAGGGCAAUGACUAUCGUAUUUCAUGACAUGAUACACAAAGAGAUUGAGGUGUAUGUAGAUGACGUGAUCAUAAAGUCAAAAAAGCAGACCGACCAUGUCGGGGACUUGAGAAAGGUUUUCCAAAGGCUCCGCAGGUACAACCUCAAGCUUAAUCCGGUGAAAUAUGAAUUUGGUGUCCCUUCCGGGAAACUGCUGGGAUUCAUAGUUAGUCGACGCGGUAUUGAGUUGGACCCAUCAAAGAUCAAAGCCAUCCAAGAAUUACCUCCGCCAAAGAAUAAAACUGAGGUGAUGAUCUUGCUCGGGAGGUUAAACUACAUCAGCGGGUUUAUUGCUCAACUCACAACGACUUGUGAGCCUAUUUUUAGGUUGCUGAAGAAGAAUGUUGCAAUUAAGUGGACUGAUGAGUGUCAGGAAGCAUUUGAUAAGAUCAAGAGGUACCUGUCAAACCCAUCUGUGUUGGUCCCUCCGGAACCUGGGAGACCUUUAAUUCUCUAUUUGACGGUCCUGGAUAAUUCUUUUGGUUGUGUGUUGGGCCAACACGACAUCACGGGAAAGAAAGAACAAGCCAUUUAUUAUCUCAGCAAGAAGUUCACUCCUUUUGAGGCUAAGUAUACUCUUCUUGAGAGGACAUGUUGUGCCUUGACUUGGGUGGCAUAAAAGUUGAAGCAUUAUCUAUCGUCCUACACUACUUACCUCAUUUCUCGCAUGGAUCCUCUAAAGUAUAUCUUUCAGAAGUCUAUGCCCACAGGAAGACUUGCAAAGUGGCAGAUUUUACUCACCGAGUUUGACAUCAUUAAAUUAGUGGUUCAUACUCAAAAUGAUAUCUAUACUAAUAGAUUAAUCAAACUUGUUGCCUAGCCAUUUAUCUGUUGUGCAUGACAGAGCCGAUUAAUAAGAGUUGCCCAGUGGCUAUUUUCUUAUAAAUCAGAGGUCUUCCCGAAGGAACGAGAGGCGUAUGAUUCAAGAAUAGCAAUGGUCGUGCAAG